rnacentral:rRNA from 1 species
GUGGGGAAUCUUGCGCAAUGGGCGAAAGCCUGACGCAGCCAUGUCGCGUGAAUGAUGAAGGUCUUAGGAUUGUAAAAUUCUUUCACCGGGGACGAUAAUGACGGAACCCGGAGAAGAAGCUCCGGCUAACUUCGUGCCAGCAGCCGCGGUAAUACGAAGGGGGCUAGCGUUGCUCGGAAUUACUGGGCGUAAAGGGCGCGUAGGCGGACAGCUUAGUCAGAGGUGAAAGCCCAGGGCUCAACCUUGGAAUUGCCUUUGAUACUGGCUGUCUUGAGUGUGGGAGAGGUGAGUGGAACUCCGAGUGUAGAGGUGAAAUUCGUAGAUAUUAGGAAGAACACCAGUGGCGAAGGCGACUCACUGGCCCAAUACUGACGCUGAGGCGCGAAAGCGUGGGGAGCAAACAGGAUUAGAAACCCCGGUAGUCC